GGGUAGGAGUGGAAGAAUCAGAGUGUUUCUUUGAAAAUUGGCUUGAUGUGUCUGUCCAAGGGUCAUCUGGAGGAAAAAAUACAAGUGCACUCAGACAUGAACUAAUGGAUAAGGAGGAGACAAUCAGAACUGCUUUGGAUUCAGCCCAUAGAAGGGCCAGAGGAGUCGCGCUGACACCUUCAUGUUUAAACAGAGGACACUUUUCUGCGUGCCACUAGAUGUAUAUCAGCCAUACCAAAAUGCUGCCUUUGCCUGAGACAGGGAAGAUGAAAUGACUUUGGGGAAAUGGAGAAUCAUUCAUGAAUCCAGUUACUUUCUGAUCUGACAGCUUUGUGGCAUCUGAAUGGAUAACAAUUUGAUCUGGUAAUCUCAAUUGAUA